AACGAACGCUGGCGGCAUGCCUAACACAUGCAAGUCGAACGAGACCUUCGGGUCUAGUGGCGCACGGGUGCGUAACGCGUGGGAACCUGCCUUUAGGUUCGGAAUAACUCCCCGAAAGGGGUGCUAAUACCGGAUAAUGUCUUCGGACCAAAGAUUUAUCGCCUUUAGAUGGGCCCGCGUAAGAUUAGGUAGUUGGUGGGGUAAAGGCCUACCAAGCCGACGAUCUUUAGCUGGUCUGAGAGGAUGAUCAGCACACUGGGACUGAGACACGGCCCAGACUCCUACGUGAGGCAGCAGUGGGGAAUAUUGGACAAUGGGCGAAAGCCUGAUCCAGCAAUGCCGCGUGAGUGAUGAAGGCCUUAGGGUUGUAAAGCUCUUUUACCAGGGAUGAUAAUGACAGUACCUGGAGAAUAAGCUCCGGCUAACUCCGUGCCAGCAGCCGCGGUAAUACGGAGGGAGCUAGCAUUGUUCGGAAUUACUGGGCGUAAAGCGCACGUAGGCGGCGA
rnacentral:rRNA from 1 species